CUCUGUAGAGAUUCUUUUACAGGAAAGGGGCCUACCACUGAGGCCUGGUGCAAAGCUCACAGAGUGCCAGGAGCCAGGGCCCAGGAAGUUGCUGCUUUUCUUCCCUCCUAUCCCUUCCCUGCUCUGUGCUGGAGAAGGCAGGAGACCACACCUGCGCUUGUGAUAUCCCAGGCAUGCUGAGAUCUGCAAAUAUGCCAUUAGCCCACCAGGCUGGCACAGAACAGCUGCAUCCAAAGGUGAUUUAGCACAGCCUCAUGCCCAUGUCACAUCCACGGUUCCCAGAGCACUUCCUUCUUCCAGCAGCAAUCCUAUGCCCCAUCUAACAUACUACAAAGUCACUUUUGGGCAUCUUCUUCCAGUGGUAUGAGAAGCUCCAGAUAUCCAGAAGGCCAUACUUCCAAUGCAGUCGAAUGAUUGUGUUUCCUCAUAAAGAUGAACCUCUGCUGACAGGUUGGUACAACUCCCAGUAGUCAUCAGAGAAGCUUCGUAUGCAGUGAACAGUGGUUAACGUAGAGACUCAGAACUGGUCAAAUUGCGGAGAUUACAUGUCAACAUGCUCACCCAAGAAGGUGUUGCUAUGUGGAAAGCCCACCUGCUGGAUGAUGGGAGAUAUUUGGCCCCAUCGUUCUGUUGCUACAGAAUUGCCAUAGCCAAUGGCUACGUGUGGGAGUGAGGUAUCCUGAAACAGUUAACCUAUAGCCCACCCACUGGAUGACUACAGUCCCAUGAGGGAACCCAGCCAAGACUGGCCAACCUUGACCCACAUCUGUAGAACCUCCUAGCAGCCUUUGGCUUACACAAGACCACCGACAAAGGCUGGUUCCUGUGAUGUUUGGAAGGCAGAGGAGGGGCAUAUGACAGAGAACUUACGGAGCUCACUGAAGGUCUUGUUUCAAGAUGAAGAUAAUGGUGAGACAGGAGCAUCUGGGGUUACCAUCACAGGCACACCUGCCCCAGAUGGGGAGAGGAAGCUGCGGAUUUUAGUGAAGAUGCACCCGAGAUUUCUCAAGUGACUCAACCCAUUGUUGAAAUGAAAAGACAUCCAGUCUCCCAAAUUAAAUGCAGGCUCAAUUAGAAAUUUCGCUGAAAUUUGAAAUUACAACCGUUUCUCCCCCUAAACGACAGGAUUACAUGGCAUCGCUGAGAAACUGACAGGAGUGAUGCCCUGAGCCACAAGGAUCUUUAAUAGAUGUUCCUCAACACCGCUGCCCCAGGAAGCAACAUCUGUGCUAGAAGGGAUCACUCCUGGAGAUCAUGGCUCCCCUGCUCCUCAACUGGCUGUUCUGUUUAUCUUCUUGCCCAACAGGAAUGAGACACGGACACCAAGGCUGCCUCCUUCUCAGGCAUCCGACAGGACAUAGCGAUCCAAGUUAGUUGUUCCCCUAGUCUCCCUGUCUUUACCUGUCAUGAGAAGAAAAUAAAUAAAAAACUAACACAGCUGUAAAAAUCAAA